UCUCGCUGCCCUCACGGAGCUCUGUCUCAGCCCCUUGUUAGUGGCCGCAUUACGUCCCCAAGAUCCAUACGCUGAGUCCUGCUCUCAGGGCAGCAGAGGGUGACUGUGCUUGGAGAUGGGUCUUUAUGGAGGUGAUUAAGGCUGUGUGGACCCACCCUCUGAGCAGCUGAGGCCUGGACCUGAGGCCCACGUCUUGGCACAGGCAGUGGGGAGAGAGGCCGCCGAUGCCGGACAGAUCGGACACGCGGGGACACG